AACGCGGGAAAUCUUACCGGGUCCGGACACACUGAGGAUUGACAGGCAAUAUUAAUACUUUUUUGCUUCGGCAUUGAGUAUUAUGUUAAAUAUGCUAGUCCUUUCAUGAUUAUGUGAUAGGUGGUGCAUGGCCGUUCUUAGUUCGUGGAGUGAUCUGUCUGCUUAAUUGCGUUUCACUAAGGGCCUAUAAAUUUACGUAUGUUGCAUCGCACUUUGACCCCUUUCUUAAUUGAAAGCGCGUGUCUUAGUUUCGCUUUGCUCAUACAAUUAGGUCCUGAAAGCAACGAACGUGACCGCAACCUCUUGUUGCCUUUAUACCAAACAUGUUUGUAUAAUUUUUAUUACGCAUUCAUGAAAAAAGGCUUUUUAAACUAGAGGGACCGCUGUUACUUUCUUAAACCAGAGGAAGGUUGCGGCAAUAACAGGUCUGUGAUGCCCUUAGAUGUUCCGGGCUGCACACGUGCUACAAUGAUUAUUGCAGUGAGCAUCUCAUUUUUACACACCGCAUGCGCGAGUCCAUUUAUUCACCUUCGGGCGUUUUAAAUGUGUACCUCUGCGCGCGGUAAAGCCUGCUUCGAAAGUAAGUGGGUAAUCAAUUAGAAGUAAUGAUUUCCUUUUUUUAGCACACAUAUAUACGGCGUCUAUGCCCGGGUUACCUUGUUGUAGCUUUUGUGCGUAUAGAUGUUUUUUCCGUAUGUGCGAUUGUCAAUUCAUGGUGGGGACAGACCAUUGUUAAUUGUUGGUCUCGGUCUUAACUAGGAAUGCCUUGUACGGGUCUUUGGUUCAACAAACCACCCGGAAUACGUCCCUGCCCUUUGUACACACCGCCCGUCGCUCUUACCGAUGGACUUCUCUGUGAGUUUGAGGGACUGGGAACGCAGGAAUUUAUUUCUGCACACCUAUGGAAACUUAAACGAACAGUGUGGUCUAAAGGAAAGAGAAGUCGUAACAAGGCAUCGGUAGGU
rnacentral:rRNA from 1 species